GACAUCCAGAGAAUUUAGCAGAGAUUGCUUUUAGUGCCUUCGGGAACUCUGAGACAGGUGCUGCAUGGCUGUCGUCAGCUCGUGUUGUGAAAUGUUGGGUUAACGUCCGCAACGAGCGCAACCCUUAUCCUUUGUUGCCAGCACGUAAUGGUGGGAACCCAAAGGAGACUGCCGGUGAUAAACCGGAGGAAGGUGGGGAUGACGUCAAGUCAUCAUGGCCCUUACGAGUAGGGCUACACACGUGCUACAAUGGCGCAUACAAAGAGAAGCGACCUCGCGAGAGCAAGCGGACCUCAUAAAGUGCGUCGUAGUCCGGAUUGGAGUCUGCAACUCGACUCCAUGAAGUCGGAAUCGCUAGUAAUCGUAAAUCAGAAUGUUACGGUGAAUACGUUCCCGGGCCUUGUACACACCGCCCGUCACACCAUGGGAGUGGGUUGCAAAAGAAGUAGAUAGCUUAACCUUCGGGAGGGCGUUUACCACUUUGUGAUUCAUGACUGGGGUGAAGUCGUAACAAGGUAGGCGUAGUGCU
rnacentral:rRNA from 1 species